GACGAACGCUGGCGGCGUGCUUAACACAUGCAAGUCGAACGUGAUUUUUGUGGAAAUUCUUUCGGGAAUGGAAAUGAAAUGAAAGUGGCGAACGGGUGAGUAACACGUGAGCAACCUACCUUACACAGGGGGAUAGCCGUUGGAAACGACGAUUAAUACCGCAUGAGACCACAGAAUCGCAUGAUAUAGGGGUCAAAGAUUUAUCGGUGUAAGAAGGGCUCGCGUCUGAUUAGCUAGUUGGAAGGGUAAAGGCCUACCAAGGCGACGAUCAGUAGCCGGUCUGAGAGGAUGAACGGCCACAUUGGAACUGAGACACGGUCCAAACUCCUACGGGAGGCAGCAGUGGGGAAUAUUGCACAAUGGGGGGAACCCUGAUGCAGCGACGCCGCGUGAGCGAAGAAGGUUUUCGAAUCGUAAAGCUCUGUCCUANGAGAAGAUAANGACGNU
rnacentral:rRNA from 1 species